UAUGGUGAGGAUCAAACAAGUUGAGACAAGAUUUUCUGAAAGUACUGUGCAAACUUUCAGCCCGUAAAUAUUAAGGGACUGUUAUCACAUACUGCUCAGGAAAUAACAGCACCUGGGAAAACCCACAGAGCGUGGUUUUGUAAGAAGUUGCUCAGCCCUCAAGGGAGAAAUGCCAGGCUCAACAUUGGCCAAGAGGAACAGAUCUGGGAAAUUACGACAUGAGAACAGUCAUCUUACCCAGAGUCCAGUUCGGGGAGUCAUUGUGCUUUCCCAGAAAGAUCCUGAUUCUCUCGGUUUAAACCUGAGCUUUGUGACUUUCCAGUUGAGUUGGGAGGUGGAGAAAGGACUCUAUUCAUGUAGUCGUUCAUGGACCUAAGAUGAAGACAACUCUAUCUUCUUCAUUACAUGCCUUACAUGGACGCUCCAGUUAUCAGCAUUGCAAGCAGCGGAAGGAGAAAGGAUCUCAUAACAUGUUAUACAUCAGACCCAGAAAGAAAACAGCAAUCAUUUCUGCAUACUUGAUAUUGGCUAAAACCCAGUCAUGUGGCCCCAGAUAAAUGAAGAGAAGCUUGAUAAAUGUGGUCUAGUGAAAGAGGAGAAUGUAUUUUGAUAGGUAGUUACCAGUCUCCGCCACAGUUAUUCACAUUUAAAACCUACAGAUUACACACACACACACACACACACACACACACACACACCAAUGUCUAAGUUCUACCAAAUGGAAAUAUCUGGAAAUUUUGGUUGAACGCCACAUGGCAACAAUUUCCUAGAGUCAGGUUGUAGUUUUCCUUUGCAAAGUGCAUGUUCACUCUGGUUGCUAUCAUUCUCACCACUUGUGUUUUUGCCCCAAAUCCAAUCCUACUUUACUUCAUCUAGACAUGAUCAACACAUGCUUGAAGAGAUUAUAGUUGGGUGUUCUCUUAGCUAAUGUCAUUAGGACCAAUAUUUGUUUAGUUCAUCAAAAAAAAUAAAUAAAUAAAAAUAGGCAAAUCAGGGAAUAAUAGUUAAAACAAAAAAGUUUUUUUUGGAUGUUCUAUACUAUCCUAAAGCGUAUUAAUUUACUUUUAUUUGUUACAUUUAUAAUCUUGGGUCAAAGUCUUUUCUUUAUGUCUACCAAUUGGAUCUUAGAGUUAUCUUUUUUUGUACAAAUCUCACACAUAAUAACAUCCUUACAACAUUCUUCUGUCCUUAAGGGAGAAUUUAAAGACAUUUUGAUGGUGAUUUUCUGAGGGAAAAAUCCUUCAGGUUUUGAUGAUUUUCUCCUUGUCAUUGCCAAUUGUCUCAUUCAUACCUAACUUUUAGUGACUUGCCUUUACUGAAUUGUUCCAAAAUAUUCAAAUUAGUUAUCAUAGAAACAAUAACUUCUUUUUAUUUUACACUCAUAUUUCAUUGGGUAAAAUAUUUUAAAAAAUCAUGUAAUUAUAAUAACAAGUACAUUUGUCAUAAAUAAGUUUGAAGACAAACACAACUGACUCUUGGUAAAUAUAUUAUUUAAAAUACAG